rnacentral:rRNA from 1 species
GACGAACGCUGGCGGCGUGCCUAAUACAUGCAAGUUGAGCGAUGAAGCUUGGUGCUUGCCCCAAUUUGAAGAGCAGCGAACGGGUGAGUAACGCGUGGGGAAUCUGCCUUUGAGCGGGGGACAACAUUUGGAAACGAAUGCUAAUACCGCAUAAUAACUUUAAACAUAAGUUUUAAGUUUGAAAGAUGCAAUUGCAUCACUCAAAGAUGAUCCCGCGUUGUAUUAGCUAGUUGGUGAGGUAAAGGCUCACCAAGGCGAUGAUACAUAGCCGACCUGAGAGGGUGAUCGGCCACAUUGGGACUGAGACACGGCCCAAACUCCUACGGGAGGCAGCAGUAGGGAAUCUUCGGCAAUGGACGAAAGUCUGACCGAGCAACGCCGCGUGAGUGAAGAAGGGUUUCGGAUCGUAAAACUCUGUUGGUAGAGAAGAACGUUGGUGAGAGUGGAAAGCUCAUCAAGUGACGGUAACUACCCAGAAAGGGACGGCAAACUACGUG